ACAGGCGUACAUUCUGUCACGCAACUGUUCCCUUGGAGAUCCUGGAUUACUCCACUUCCUGUGGGACUUCUGACUAAGACCAAGACGCACAGCCAAAGAUAUUCAUGAACUGAAAGCAUUAAAAAAAACACUAUUCUUCAGUGACACUGGUAACAAGACAUGAGUGGGUCUCCAGACAGUCCAUACACAAGGACUGUGGAGACAGCACAGUGUGGACACAGCAUCAGCACCACUUCAGCCACUGCUGUAUCUGAACGCGGUUGUCAGAUUAACAAUUUCCAGAAGGAUCUCUACACUGCCCCCACCCCACUCUGCUGGGGUUUUAAAAGGUAUUCUCCUCAGUAAACAAUACUGACAUCCUGAAACUCUUCAAAUGUUUCAACAUUUUAAAAAAUAAAUCCUGGAAAGCUCAACAACUUCUUUCAAAAGCCCGUGGCAUCCCCCUAGUCACGCCAUCCACUGGCCACAGGAGACAGAAGACCAUGGAAAACAUUCUUUCCAGAUGCUGGAAGAAGCAGCAGCAGUAACACAGCUGUCCCUGCCUAACGACUACUGGGAGAUGCAGUUGGACAAGCCCCCCUGCAUAUUCCACUGAC